CCUACGGGUGGCAGCAGUGAGGAAUAUUGGUCAAUGGGCGCGAGCCUGAACCAGCCAAGUAGCGUGAAGGAUGAAUGCCCUACGGGUUGUAAACUUCUUUUAUAUAAGAAUAAAGUGAGGCACGUGUGCCUUUUUGUAUGUACUUUAUGAAUAAGGAUCGGCUAACUCCGUGCCAGCAGCCGCGGUAAUACGGAGGAUCCGAGCGUUAUCCGGAUUUAUUGGGUUUAAAGGGAGCGUAGAUGGGUUGUUAAGUCAGUGGUGAAAGUUUGCGGCGCAACCGUAAAAUUGCAGUUGAAACUGGCAGCCGUGAGGACAGUUGAGGUAGGCGGAAUUCGUGGUGUAGCGGUGAAAUGCUUAGAUAUCACGAAGAACUCCGAUUGCGAAGGCAGCCUACUAAACUGCAACUGACACUGAUGCUCGAAAGUGUGGGUAUCAAACAGGAUUAGAUACCCGAGUAGUC
rnacentral:rRNA from 1 species